rnacentral:rRNA from 1 species
GACGAACGCUGGCGGCGUGCUUAACACAUGCAAGUCGAACGAAGAGCGAUGGAAGCUUGCUUCUAUCAAUCUUAGUGGCGAACGGGUGAGUAACGCGUAAUCAACCUGCCCUUCAGAGGGGGACAACAGUUGGAAACGACUGCUAAUACCGCAUACGAUCUAAUCUCGGCAUCGAGGAUAGAUGAAAGGUGGCCUCUACAUGUAAGCUAUCACUGUAGGAGGGGAUUGCGUCUGAUUAGCUAGUUGGAGGGGUAACGGCCCACCAAGGCGAUGAUCAGUAGCCGGUCUAAGAGGAUGAGCGGCCACAUUGGGACUGAGACACGGCCCAGACUCCUACGGGAGGCAGCAGUGGGGAAUCUUCCGCAAUGGACGAAAGUCUGACGGAGCAACGCCGCGUGAGCGAUGACGGCCUUCGGGUUGUAAAGCUCUGUUAAUCGGGACGAAAGGCCUUCUUGCGAAUAGUGAGAAGGAUUGACGGUACCGGAAUAGAAAGCCACGGCUAACUACGUG